GACGAACGCUGGCGGCGUGCUUAACACAUGCAAGUCGAACGGAAAGGCCCUGCUUUUGUGGGGUGCUCGAGUGGCGAACGGGUGAGUAACACGUGAGUAACCUGCCCUUGACUUUGGGAUAACUUCAGGAAACUGGGGCUAAUACCGGAUAGGAGCUCCUGAUGCAUGGUGGGGGUUGGAAAGUUUCGGCGGUUGGGGAUGGACUCGCGGCUUAUCAGCUUGUUGGUGGGGUAGUGGCUUACCAAGGCUUUGACGGGUAGCCGGCCUGAGAGGGUGACCAGCCACAUUGGGACUGAGAUACGGCCCAGACUCCUACGGGAGGCAGCAGUGGGGAAUAUUGCACAAUGGGCGGAAGCCUGAUGCAGCAACGCCGCGUGCGGGAUGACGGCCUUCGGGUUGUAAACCGCUUUCGCCUGUGACGAAGCGUGAGUGACGGUAAUGGGUAAAUAAGCACCGGCUAACUACGUG
rnacentral:rRNA from 1 species